AUGUUGCACCUGAAGCCUAAGCCGAAGCCGAUCUGCCAAACGCGGUGGCCGCGGCGGACGCGCCCUUUGGCCUCGGCAUCGAUCACUUUUGUGCGUGCGGUUACCUCGAUGGUGGAAGCAAGAGAAAUGGCAGGCAACGGCGGCAGCGCGAGCCAGAUGCAGCCAUCGUCUUCGCUCCACCACUCGGCUACCGCCCGAGACAGCAGCUCCACUUCCGCCGGCAGGCAUCGGGUGGAUGGGGAGAAAAGGCCGGAGCAGCGAGGAGGUGCCGGGGCAGCGCCGGGCAGAGGAGGCGGGAGUGGAGGCGUUAGGUGGUCGCGGAGGCGGCGCCCGGGCGGGCCAGCUUGGCCACGCGCGGGGCGGCGCUCGCAGCGUGGUGGUGGCAGUGGCGCGCGGGCGCUCGCAGCAAGACGAAGACGGCGGCGGUCGCAGUGGCAAUUCGUCUGGGCGGAGAUGGAGGUCGGAGGUGCUGACAAUCGUGGUGGCGAAGUGGCAGUAGCGCGCGGGUGGUGCUCGCGCAGGAGAUGUAGCCGCGCGCGGUGGCAGCGGCCGAGCAUGGCGACGGCUUGGCGCGGCGGCGGAGAGGGGAAAGAGGUAGCUGGCAGCGGUGGGGAGUGGCCUGACGGGAGACCCUUUUUUUUUUUUGACGUGGCACAGGGGUAUUUACGUCCGACUGCGUCAAAAAACAGACUCCCGUCCGCCACAUCAGCACAACAAGUAUCCUUCAGAUGGCGCGGUGUCAUCGGCAAAUAUGAUGUCUUCCCCCAAAACUUCACUUCCGUGGUGUCCCUAAGCUAAAACCACAUAA
rnacentral:lncRNA from 1 species